rnacentral:rRNA from 1 species
AUUGAACGCUGGCGGCAGGCCUAACACAUGCAAGUCGAGCGAGCGGCGGACGGGUGAGUAAUGUCUGGGAAACUGCCUGAUGGAGGGGGAUAACUACUGGAAACGGUAGCUAAUACCGCAUACCAUCAGAUGUGCCCAGAUGGGAUUAGCCAGUAGGUGGGGUAACGGCUCACCUAGGCGACGAUCCCUAGCUGGUCUGAGAGGAUGACCAUCCACACUGGAACUGAGACCCGGUCCAGACUCCUACGGGCGGCAGCCGUGGGGAUUAUUGCACAGUGGGCGCAAGCCUGAUGCAGCCAUGCCGCGUGGGUGAAGAAGGCCUUCGGGUUGUAAAGCACUUUCAGCGGGGAUGCGUUACCCGCAGAAGAAGCACCGGCUAACUCCGUGCCAGCAGCCGCGGUAAUAC